rnacentral:rRNA from 1 species
GGAUUCCCCUAGUAACUGCGAGUGAAGCGGGAAAAGCUCAAAUUUAAAAUCUGGUAGUCUUUGGCUGCCCGAGUUGUAAUCUAGAGAAGCGUUAUCCGCGUUGGACCGUGUAUAAGUCUCCUGGAAUGGAGCGUCAUAGAGGGUGAGAAUCCCGUCUUUGACACGGACUACCAGGGCUUUGUGAUGCGCUCUCAAAGAGUCGAGUUGUUUGGGAAUGCAGCUCUAAAUGGGUGGUAAAUUCCAUCUAAAGCUAAAUAUUGGCGAGAGACCGAUAGCGAACAAGUACCGUGAGGGAAAGAUGAAAAGAACUUUGGAAAGAGAGUUAAACAGUACGUGAAAUUGUUGAAAGGGAAACGCUUGAAGUCAGUCGCGUUGACCAGGGAUCAACCUUGCUUUUGCUUGGUGUACUUCCUGAUUAACGGGUCAGCAUCAAUUUUGACCAGUGGAAAAAGUUCGAGGGAAUGUGGCAUCCUCGGAUGUGUUAUAGCCCUUGGUCGUAUACAUUGGUUGGGAUGAGGGAACUCAGCACGCCGCAAGGCCGGGUUUUAACCACGUUCGUGCUUAGGAUGCUGGCAUAAUGGCUUUAAUCGACCCGUCUUGAAACACGGACCAAGGAGUCUAACAUGCCUGCGAGUGUUUGGGUGGAAAACCCAAGCGCGUAAUGAAAGUGAAAGUUGGGAUCUCUGUCGUGGGGAGCACCGACGCCCGGACCAGACCUUUUGUGACGGAUCCGCGGUAGAGCAUGUAUGUUGGGACCCGAAAGAUGGUGAACUAUGCCUGAAUAGGGUGAAGCCAGAGGAAACUCUGGUGGAGGCUCGUAGCGAUUCUGACGUGCAAAUCGAUCGUCGAA